ensembl:lncRNA
AAUUCCGUCUUUGUCUCCCUCUUCCAGAAAAAAAAAGUGUGCGCUUCUUGCUUUGAAUCUCGUUUUUCAUUUCACGCAUACACACGCACACACACACACACACUCUCUCUCUCUCUCUCUCUCGCUCUCUUUCUGUCUAGCUUUUUUCCACUUAGCAGUCAAACAAAGAAAGGAAAGGAGCAGAGCGCACACACACACACACUCUCUGCCUCACACACACACACACACACUCCGCCUCACACACACACACCAUGGAUCCCGGAGCCCAACCCCCAAGCCUGUUUCUCUCGUUUUUUUCCCCCCUGCCUUUCUCUAAACAGCACCUCCCCCUCUUCUCAUCACCCCUUCUCUCCUCUCAGCCGGGCUCUGGCCUCGUUUUCAUUUGCUUCGCCUCCCUCCCUCCCUCCCUCCCUCUGUGUGUCAAACAGAUGGGAUUGGCGAGCAGCCUCCCCUCACGUUCUCUCCCUCAUUAUCUCUCAUCCCAUGCCUCUUUCUCUCAGGCUGCCGACAGAUGAGGAAGAAGAAGAGGGAACGCAGUGGAAAAUGUCUGGAUGGGAGGCUGCAUGGUUACCCAAAAUAACAGAGACAACUACACUGCUGAUAUCAGAGUGACGUACCGCGCCGCUGAGACAGAGCCAUGAGCUAACUCUGACAAACAACCAGAAGCAACUGAUUUUCUGGUUCAUUAAGAAAAGGGAGGCCGCCAUUUGUUUUGCCUAAAAUAUCCUGGUACCAGGUGGAGUUCAUGGGAAUGGCCUCAGGACGAGCAGAAGCCAAAUACAGCCGCCGCUGAAUUUGACAGUGGAUGUUGGAUUCUUUACUGCUCAUUCUUUAUCGGCGUUGAAGCCAAGACCACUACUGGUGUUCCUAGCUGAGGAACCAAAUAUAGACAUGUGGAGUUUGCUGAACAGCAUUGGCACUGUAGCCAAGCAUAACAGUAGUCGGUUUGGAGUCCAAGUGGGAAUGCAGAACAGACAAAAACUUGAUACCUACUAUGGAUGACAUGGGUAAAAAAAUAAAUAUAUAUGUAAAAAAAAUUCAUGGCUGCCUCAGUGUCGUAUUUUUAGUUGUUGAGUCACUUAGACAAAGCCCAUUCCAAGCAGGUUUUUAUUUCCAAGUUAUGUCAGGAUAUUUAGCUAUAACUAACCGAUCCAGCUAAAGAACACCCCUCUCAAACUCAAGUGGGUUGUUCCACUGCUACAUACAAUAAAACCUACAACCCAGAAUCAACACGGUAUUUCCACAGCAAGGCACUCAUACACUAUCUACAAAUAGUCAUUCCUGCUGUGGACGAUUUUUCAGAAUGUUUUCCCUCUACUGUGUUACGGGUGAGAGUGGCUGCGAAAAGCUACACAGCUAAACAUUGGUUCAUUAAGCUAAGGUUCAGGAUGACACAGAGAGGGAGAGAUUAGAAGUGACAGAAAGAGAGAGAUGGAGCAAGACAGUUGGAGGGACAGGAACACCCGGGGAAAAGAGAGAAACAGAGAGAAAGGAUGGGAGAGGGGGAUGGACAAAAAGAAAUAGAGAGAGAGAGAGAGUGAGAGCACGAUAGAGAGACAUAUAUACACAGUAUAGAUAGAGAAGGGGCUUGGGGGGCAGAAAGAAACAGAGAGAGAGAGAGAGAGUUCCUAGCUGUAGUGUGCGUUGAACAGGAGUGAGUGAGGGAGGAUGAGGGAAAGCAACCAGGGCCAGUCAGCAAUGUGACAUCUCUCCGGGUCUAUUAUGUAAUUUAACAUCCCAUUGAUUUAUCCCUGGAUAGAUUUGGCCCUCAGCCAAUAUGCAAUAGCAUUUGUAAUAUUUGAGCCUUCGCCAAGAAGUGAGGGCAGAGAGAGUGUGAGAGGGGGAGAGGGGGAAAGAGAGUAGGGAGGGGUGGACAAAGGGGGAGGGUGGAGAGGGAUGAGGUGCGAGAGAGAGAGGGAGAGGCAGGAAGAGAAGAGAGAGAGAUAAUGACAGAGAUGAGUAGCAGAGACAGAGAGACAGAGACACUGCCAUGAUAAAAUAGCAACCAGUGGAAACACAAACAACAUUGAAAACAUAAUCAAUAUACAUCUCUUAUUUCCCCUGGUCAUUCGUACUUCUAAGUACUUAAACAACUAGCCUUCAGCACCUUUGUGUAUGUACUUAUAUUUACAGUUGAAGAUUAAUAUUGUUAUUUUAUCAUAUAUACACUUAUAUUUAUACAAACCCGAUUCCAAAAAAGUUGUGACACUGUACAAAUUGUGAGUAAAAAAAGGAAUGGAAUAAUUUACCAAUCUCAUAAACCUAUAUUUAAUUCACAAUAG